rnacentral:rRNA from 1 species
UACGUAGGGUGCAAGCGUUGUCCGGAAUUAUUGGGCGUAAAGAGCUCGUAGGCGGUCUGUCGCGUCGGCUGUGAAAACCCGGAGCUCAACUCCGGGCCUGCAGUCGAUACGGGCAGACUGGAGUUCGGCGGGGGAGACUGGAAUUCCUGGUGUAGCGGUGAAAUGCGCAGAUAUCAGGAGGAACACCGGUGGCGAAGGCGGGUCUCUGGGCCGAUACUGACGCUGAGGAGCGAAAGCGCGGGGAGCGAACAGG